AAACUUAAAGGAAUUGACGGGGACCCGCACAAGUGGUGGAGCAUGUGGUUUAAUUCGAAGAUACGCGAAGAACCUUACCUGGCCUUGACAUUGAUAGAAUCUGCUAGAGAUAGCGGAGUGCCCUUCGGGGAGCUUGAAAACAGGUGCUGCACGGCUGUCGUCAGCUCGUGUCGUGAGAUGUUGGGUUAAGUCCCGCAACGAGCGCAACCCUCGUCACUAGUUACUAACGGUUCGGCCGAGGACUCUAGUGAGACUGCCUUCGUAAGGAGGAGGAAGGUGAGGACGACGUCAAGUCAUCAUGGCCCUUACGGCCAGGGCGACACACGUGCUACAAUGGGAUGUACAAUGAGACGCAAUAUCGCGAGGUGGAGCAAAUCUAUAAAGCAUCUCUCAGUUCGGAUUGUAGUCUGCAACUCGACUACAUGAAGCUGGAAUCACUAGUAAUCGUAGAUCAGCCAUGCUACGGUGAAUACGUUCCCGGGUCUUGUACUCACCGCCCGUCACACCAUGGGAGUUGAUUUCACCCGAAGCGGGGAAGCUAAACUGGCUACCCUCCACGGUGGAAUCAGCGACUGGGGUGAAGUCGUAACAAGGUAACCGUAGGAGAACCUGCGGUUGGAUCACCUCCUUUCUG
rnacentral:rRNA from 1 species